rnacentral:rRNA from 1 species
AUGCUGGAUGAUGACGGGAUGGCUCCCUCGUACUUCUACGACGACACUCCCUACGCGGAGUGGGCUGCAGCAUUGGCCGCGGGCGAGCGCCAUGAUGAGGCGCCUGCUACAUCCACCGACGACCUCCAACUCAAGGCGUCCAUGAGCGCCAUCAGCUCGACUCCGUCCAAGCUCGCCACGCCUACAGCAGCAACUUCGUCUGUGACCAUCGACAACGCCGUCCUGGAGCUCAGUAAGAGUGAGAAGGUGCUCGAAAUCGAUGCCACUAUGAUGUCCACCACUUGUUCGACAGGGUGCCCAAGUUGCAACACGCCCAAGGAGUCAUCACUCACCUUGUUCAGAUCACUACCUUCAUCCAUGAUCCUUGAAAAUGUCACCCAUGAGCCUGGACUCAACCUGGACUCAGUGGCCUUGGUACGUGUGCAUGCUAAAUUGGAAAGCGUUGGCACUGCCAUGGACAUGCAGCAGAACAACUACGAGGAUGACAAUCUUGUACAACACAAGGACAUCUCCUCAGUACAACUUGCCACAUCAGUUUGUGAGUGCCCUUCACCGAGUGCUUGGAAAUUCCUUCCCUGCAAAUUUCACAAGGUUGUUGCUCCAUUAGUUUGGCCGCCUCUAUUGCAAUGGAAUGAGAACCGUGUGUGGCCACCCCCCCUUUCCUCCUUAUGCAAUGACACUGCGUCUGCACUUGUUAUCAUCUGCUAA